rnacentral:rRNA from 1 species
UACGAAGGGGGCUAGCGUUGCUCGGAAUCACUGGGCGUAAAGGGUGCGUAGGCGGGUUUUUAAGUCAGAGGUGAAAUCCUGGAGCUCAACUCCAGAACUGCCUUUGAUACUGAGAAUCUUGAGUAUGGGAGAGGUGAGUGGAACUGCGAGUGUAGAGGUGAAAUUCGUAGAUAUUCGCAAGAACACCAGUGGCGAAGGCGGCUCACUGGCCCAUAACUGACGCUGAGGCACGAAAGCCAGGGGAGCGAACGGG